AGAGUNNUNUCCUGGCUCAGAUUGAACGCUGGCGGCAGGCCUAACACAUGCAAGUCGAGCGGAUGAAAGGAGCUUGCUCCUGGAUUCAGCGGCGGACGGGUGAGUAAUGCCUAGGAAUCUGCCUGGUAGUGGGGGACAACGUUUCGAAAGGAACGCUAAUACCGCAUACGUCCUACGGGAGAAAGCAGGGGACCUUCGGGCCUUGCGCUAUCAGAUGAGCCUAGGUCGGAUUAGCUAGUUGGUGAGGUAAUGGCUCACCAAGGCGACGAUCCGUAACUGGUCUGAGAGGAUGAUCAGUCACACUGGAACUGAGACACGGUCCAGACUCCUACGGGAGGCAGCAGUGGGGAAUAUUGGACAAUGGGCGAAAGCCUGAUCCAGCCAUGCCGCGUGUGUGAAGAAGGUCUUCGGAUUGUAAAGCACUUUAAGUUGGGAGGAAGGGUUGUAGAUUAAUACUCUGCAAUUUUGACGUUACCGACAGAAUAAGCACCGGCUAACUCUGUGCCAGCAGCCGCGGUAAUACAGAGGGUGCAAGCGUUAAUCGGAAUUACUGGGCGUAAAGCGCGCGUAGGUGGUUUGUUAAGUUGGAUGUGAAAUCCCCGGGCUCAACCUGGGAACUGCAUCCAAAACUGGCAAGCUAGAGUAUGGUAGAGGGUGGUGGAAUUUCCUGUGUAGCGGUGAAAUGCGUAGAUAUAGGAAGGAACACCAGUGGCGAAGGCGACCACCUNGAC
rnacentral:rRNA from 1 species